rnacentral:tRNA from 1 species
AGAGACUUAGGUUAACCUACAAACCAGGGGCCUUCAAAGCC